rnacentral:rRNA from 1 species
AUUGAACGCUGGCGGAAUGCUUUACACAUGCGAGUCGAGCGGCAGCGCGGCCUUCGGGCUGGCGGCGAGCGGCGAACGGGUGAGUAAUGCAUCGGAACAUGCCCAGUCGUGGGGGAUAACACUUCGAAAGAAGUGCUAAUACCGCAUACGUCCUGAGGGGGAAAGCGGGGGAUCGCAAGACCUCGCGCGAUUGGAGUGGCCGAUGUCAGAUUAGCUAGUUGGUGGGGUAAAGGCCUACCAAGGCGACGAUCUGUAGCUGGUCUGAGAGGAUGAUCAGCCACACUGGGACUGAGACACGGCCCAGACUCCUACGGGAGGCAGCAGUGGGGAAUUUUGGACAAUGGGGGCAACCCUGAUCCAGCCAUUCCGCGUGAGUGAAGAAGGCCUUCGGGUUGUAAAGCUCUUUCGGCAGGAACGAAACGGUGGGCUCUAACAUAGUCCGCUAAUGACGGUACCUGAAGAAGAAGCACCAGCUAACUACGUG